rnacentral:rRNA from 1 species
AUGGUUAAGAAGCUUGCUCUUAUGAAGUUAGCGGCGGACGGGUGAAGUAACACGUGGGUAACCUGCCCAUAAGACUGGGAUAACUCCGGGAAAACCGGGGCUAAUACCGGAUAACAUUUUGAACCGCAUGGUUCGAAAUUGAAAGGCGGCUUCGGCUGUCACUUAUGGAUGGACCCGCGUCGCAUUAGCUAGUUGGUGAGGUAACGGCUCACCAAGGCAACGAUGCGUAGCCGACCUGAGAGGGUGAUCGGCCACACUGGGACUGAGACACGGCCCAGACUCCUACGGGAGGCAGCAGUAGGGAAUCUUCCGCAAUGGACGAAAGUCUGACGGAGCAACGCCGCGUGAGUGAUGAAGCUUUCGGGUCGUAAAACUCUGUUGUUAGGGAAGAACAAGUGCUAGUUGAAUAAGCUGGCACCUUGACGGUACCUAACCAGAAAGCCACGGCUAACUACGUGCCAGCAGCCGCGGUAAUACGUAGGUGGCAAGCGUUAUCCGGAAUUAUUGGGCGUAAAGCGCGCGCAGGUGGUUUCUUAAGUCUGAUGUGAAAGCCCACGGCUCAACCGUGGAGGGUCAUUGGAAACUGGGAGACUUGAGUGCAGAAGAAGGAAAGUGGAAUUCCAUGUGUAGCGGUGAAAUGCGUAGAGAUAUGGAGGAACACCAGUGGCGAAGCGACUUUCUGGUCUGUAACUGACACUGAGCGCGAAAGCGUGGGGAGCAAACAGGAUUAGAU